rnacentral:rRNA from 1 species
UACGUAGGGCGCAAGCGUUAUCCGGAAUUAUUGGGCGUAAAGAGCUCGUAGGCGGUUUGUCGCGUCUGCCGUGAAAGUCCGUGGCUCAACUCCGGAUCUGCGGUGGGUACGGGCAGACUAGAGUGAUGUAGGGGAGACUGGAAUUCCUGGUGUAGCGGUGAAAUGCGCAGAUAUCAGGAGGAACACCGAUGGCGAAGGCAGGUCUCUGGGCCACUACUGACGCUGAGAAGCGAAAGCAUGGGGAGCGAACAGG